rnacentral:rRNA from 1 species
AUUGAACGCUGGCGGCAUGCUUUACACAUGCAAGUCGAACGGUAACAGGGAGCUUGCUCCGCUGACGAGUGGCGAACGGGUGAGUAAUGCGUCGGAACGUGCCGAGUAGUGGGGGAUAACGCAUCGAAAGGUGUGCUAAUACCGCAUACGUACUGAGGUAGAAAGUGGGGGACCUUCGGGCCUCACGCUAUUCGAGCGGCCGACGUCUGAUUAGCUAGUUGGUGAGGUAAAGGCUCACCAAGGCGACGAUCAGUAGCGGGUCUGAGAGGAUGAUCCGCCACACUGGGACUGAGACACGGCCCAGACUCCUACGGGAGGCAGCAGUGGGGAAUUUGGACAAUGGGCGCAAGCCUGAUCCAGCCAUGCCGCGUGUCUGAAGAAGGCCUUCGGGUUGUAAAGGGCUUUUGUCCGGGAGCAAAUGCUGGUGGCUAACAUCCACCGGAGCUGAGAGUACCGGAAGAAUAAGCACCGGCUAACUACGUGCCAGCAGCCGCCGUAACAC